AACAUCUUAACUCUCCCACAACACCACCAUCAUCACAAACAACCCCAUUUUGUGAAUUUUCUUCAGCUAUUCUUUAUUUCCCAGAACUACUUUCCUUCCUGUUUUUCUUUCUCUCAAGCGCAUACAGCUUUUCUCAAGGAUACUUUUCACAUUAAGGAUUUCCCGGUUCAUUAUGUGGCCAAGAGUGAUUAUUACUUUUACAACUUUCUAUCAUAUAAACUUAUCAUUUAUCAUUUACUAGAUUGAUGGUAAAUGAUAUACUUUAUUAUUUGGUUAAGCAAUUAUGAUUUCAUUGAUUAAACAAAGCUAAAGAGAUGAGUCCUGAAAACAAGAGAGACGCUGAGUUUGGUUAUGGAGUGGGUGAAGUUGAUUCCUCAAUGCUUUGCAUCCUGGCUUAAUAUAUGACACUAAGUAAGAGGAUUAUAUUAAACUUUUAUGCGGACAUGGCUUCACUACAACCGCUCUACAAUCAAUCACAGGAGAUAAUAGCAAUUGCUCGAAAAUAACUCCUACAUCAGCAACAAAUUUGAACUAGCGAGCAGCUGCUUUAAAAUUUACACAUCCUAAACAACAUGUUUGUGUGAGGAAGAUUUCAUAGGACUGUCAUCAAUGUUGGAACAUCUGUCUCUACUUAUAGAGCAAUUGUGACAGCGCCUAAAAGAUUACACAUAUGUUGUCAUUAUUGAUGGAGUAUUGAAGAAAUCUAUUGAGUCAACUUCUCUACAUUAGGUUGAUGGAAAUUUUAAAGUGAGAAGUUCAAUAGUGCUUUUCAACGAACGAGUCGAGAAAGUCGCAACAUCUCCAAGUUUCUAUCAUCGAAAUAGUUCUUUUCAACGAAGGAGUCGAGAAAGUCGCAACACCUCCAAAUUUUUGUCAUCAAAAUAGUUCUUUUCAACAAACGAGUCGAGAAAAUCACAACACCUCCAAAUUUCUAUCAUUAUUAUUUAUUGUUGUUGUUAUUUUUAGUUUUUUAUUUUUAUUUUUUCUAUAAUUAUAUUGCUAGAUAUUUAUAGAGCAUUAAAGAAAUGUAAAAGUAAAUAUUUAUAUUAGUAUAAAAUAAAUGAUAUAUUUUCA